UACGUAGGUGGCAAGCGUUGUCCGGAUUUAUUGGGCUUAAAGGGUGCGUAGGCGGCUUUGUAAGUCAGUGGUGAAAUAUGGCAGCUCAACUGUCAAGGUGCCAUUGAUACUGCGAGGCUUGAGUACAGAUGAGGUAGGCGGAAUUGACGGUGUAGCGGUGAAAUGCUUAGAUAUCGGGAAGAACACCGAUAGCGAAGGCAGCUUACUAGGCUGUAACUGACGCUGAGGCACGAAAGUGUGGGGAUCAAACAGG
rnacentral:rRNA from 1 species